rnacentral:rRNA from 1 species
CCUACGGGAGGCAGCAGUGAGGAAUAUUGCGCAAUGGGCGAAAGCCUGACGCAGCGACGCCGCGUGAGGGAUGAAGGUCUUCUGAUCGUAAACCUCUGUCAGCAGGGGAGUACGGUCACUGUGCUGAUCAUCCUUGCAUUUACGUUACCUACAAAGGCAGCACCAGCUCACUCCGUGCCAGCAGCCGCGGUAAUACGGAGGGUGCGAGCGGUAAUCGGAAUUGCUGGGCGUAAAGCGCGCGUAGGCGGUAUGUCAAGUCAAGGGUGAAAUCCCCGCGCUCAACGUGGGAACUGCCUUUGAAACUGGCAAACUGGAGUGUGUGAGAGGAGAGUGGAAUGCGAGGUGUAGGAGUGAAAUGCGUAGAUAUCUGGAGGAACAGCAGUGGCGAAGGCGACUAGCUGGAAUAUAACUGACGCUGAGGAGCGAAAGCGUGGGUAGCAAACAGGAUUAGAUACCCUAGUAGUC